UUGGCGCAAAGGUGGCUUUGCCUCCCACAUUUUGGGCCUCCGCAGCCCAAAUGGGAACAACACUAGAGAAAGCUCAAACUUAUUUUAGCUUUAACAUCCCUGUAGAAGUCAUUCUGCCAGCCCGUAAAGGCUGGAGCAUAGAGUGCUCUGUUCACACACUUCUCACCCCUAAGCAUGCCCCGGGGGCUCCAUAAAUGGACUGUUGUAGAGCCCUUACACUGCUUUACUCUAACUGGGUAGGCCCUCGGCGGGGUGAGAUGGGGAAAUAUGCUGGUAGGUUACACUGCCAGUUAUCUGUCCCCUUUACAACAUUUGAAAAGUGUGAAUGGGUCAGAUCAUAAGAGAGAAUUUGGGGCCUUUGCGAGUAUACACUAAGUAUUCCUUCAAAUCUAAACAUUAUUUCUGUAUAGAUCUUGACUGGAAAGAGCAGGAAUCUUGAUUUGAAGAAACUGUUCCCAAAUGAGCUGCUACAUCUAGGAAGAUGAUAUUAUUCAGCAGAGUGGCAUAAUGUUCUUCCAGAUAAGAUUAAGAAAUGCCUUGUGAAGGGAAAUGUCUACUCAAAAUGUGAAGUGAGCUGGAUUAAAGAAUUAGGACGUGAGGCAAGAAUGCAGAGGUAGCGAGUUGGUGCAGAAAUCUCCAUCAGUGAAAACAAAGCAGAAGAGAUUUGAAGAAAGCCUGUGGUGUUGUUCCCUUCAGGAGCCAGUGACCUAAGAACACCAAAGUAGUAGUCUACUUAUGAUUUUCCCUCCUCCCACAAACUGAAUGUUGAUUCUCAGUAUCAUUAGCAACAAGCAAAAUAAUAAAAAUUACAACUAGCA